CCUACGGGAGGCAGCAGUGAGGAAUAUUGGUCAAUGGGCGAGAGCCUGAACCAGCCAAGUCGCGUGAGGGAAGACGGUCCUAUGGAUUGUAAACCUCUUUUGUCGGGGAGCAAAAGACGCCACGCGUGGCGUUCCGAGAGUACCCGAAGAAAAAGCAUCGGCUAACUCCGUGCCAGCAGCCGCGGUAAUACGGAGGAUGCGAGCGUUAUCCGGAUUUAUUGGGUUUAAAGGGUGCGCAGGCGGAAGAGCAAGUCAGCGGUAAAAUUGAGAGGCUCAACCUCGUCGAGCCGUUGAAACUGGUUUGCUUGAGUGAGCGAGAAGUAUGCGGAAUGCGUGGUGUAGCGGUGAAAUGCAUAGAUAUCACGCAGAACUCCGAUUGCGAAGGCAGCAUACCGGCGCGCAACUGACGCUCAUGCACGAAAGUGUGGGUAUCGAACAGGAUUAGAUACCCGGGUAGUC
rnacentral:rRNA from 1 species